GACGAACGCUGGCGGCGUGCUUAACACAUGCAAGUCGAGCGAUGAAGCUUCUUCGGAAGUGGAUUAGCGGCGGACGGGUGAGUAACACGUGGGCAACCUGCCUUGUAGAGGGGGAUAGCCUUCCGAAAGGAAGAUUAAUACCGCAUAAAAUAGCGAACUCGCAUGGGUUUGCUAUCAAAGAUUUAUCGCUACAAGAUGGGCCCGCGUCGCAUUAGCUAGUUGGUGAGGUAACGGCUCACCAAGGCCACGAUGCGUAGCCGACCUGAGAGGGUGAUCGGCCACAUUGGAACUGAGACACGGUCCAGACUCCUACGGGAGGCAGCAGUGGGGAAUAUUGCACAAUGGGCGAAAGCCUGAUGCAGCAACGCCGCGUGAGUGAUGAAGGUCUUCGGAUUGUAAAGCUCUUUGAUUAGGGACGAUAAUGACGGUACCUAAAGAACAAGCCACGGCUAACUACGUGCCAGCAGCCGCGGUAAGAC
rnacentral:rRNA from 1 species